rnacentral:tRNA from 1 species
GGGCCUGUAGUCCAACGGUAUAACACUUCGUUUGCACCGAAGAGAUCCGUGUUCAAUUCACGGCAGGUCCA